rnacentral:lncRNA from 1 species
CAUGGUGUGUAUCUUUUUGGAUGAGCAAGCAGUGGUGAUGAUGUUUCCGGUGAAGUUGAUUUUGGGGUAUUUAUAAGGGAAGUGAGUGAAUUCAAUGGUCGCCACAUAAGAAAUGAAAGGGGAAGGCUUCUUCCGCCAUUAUUCACUUUGCAUGGAUGCAUGGGUUCCAUUUUGUAACACGUAAUCAGGACAACAAAAGUGCAGGUGUCUUGCAUUUUCAGAGGGAAUAUGCGGACCAAGAGCGGCUCUCCCUGAGGUAAAAGAUGCUAUUCUAGUGUAAUACGAGAUGAAUCUAUUUAUAUUCGAUUGAUAAUACAGCGGUUUGGUCGUUGAUCUCUUUAAUUAAGUGCAGAAACUUCAGUACUUGAGUAUUGAUUAGAGCUUCUGUUUCCAUCAAUGACAUGAUCAAGCUUGUAAAGAAGAGGAUAGAUGACGCACCAGCUUUAAGUCUUGGUUGAUGCAGAGGACUUCAAGUGGAACACGACUACAGGAGAAACCAACUGAUGGGAAGGUCGGACAAAAUAAAAUGGCAGUGACAGUGUUGAUGCUGUCCACGUGCAGCUCUCUUCGGUUCAGUCGGUAUGUGUUUGCCACUAUUCACAUUACUGCCGUCUCUAGCUUUGGGAUCGAAACAAACCAGUGUAUAAAUUGUUGGUUACCCGCCUCUUUGGCAUUCCUUAAGCCAUUUCUGAACUGUUACGACUGGAACCUAAAGCCAUUUCUUGAUAAACAAACAUCAAACAAUCACACAAAUCAUGGACUGCUAAAGCGUGGAACUUCUAGUUUACUGGUUAAUGGUGUAGAAUAUUGAUUGAGAGUUUAUGCAUAUUGUAAUUCUCUUUAAUAGACAUUGAGAGCUUAUUAUCACUCGUUCCACUUUCUUUUCUUAUUUUUUACAUAUAUUAUGGACACGUUCACAGGUAUUGUGAUUAGCUGGAGCUCGGAGUAAUUGGCCGGAGCAACGCUUACUGUUCUCUAUUGUUUUAAGUGUUUCAAAGAAUUGUACCGACAUGUAUGUUAUGUUUGGUCGAUAGUUGGAAUGGUUAGAGGGUGUAUUCUUUUUUUUUAUAAUUCGUUAGCGGGUGUAUUGACAGUUUUUAAUGAAUAUAACUAAAUUAAUCAAUAAAAUUGAUCGUUUAAACCAAAUUA